rnacentral:rRNA from 1 species
UGGGGAAUAUUGCACAAUGGGCGCAAGCCUGAUGCAGCCAUGCCGCGUGUAUGAAGAAGGCCUUCGGGUUGUAAAGUACUUUCAGUCGGGAGGAAGGUGGUAAGGUUAAUAACCUUGGCAAUUGACGUUACCGACAGAAGAAGCACCGGCUAACUCCGUGCCAGCAGCCGCGGUAAUACGGAGGGUGCAAGCGUUAAUCGGAAUUACUGGGCGUAAAGCGCACGCAGGCGGUUGAUUGAGUCAGAUGUGAAAUCCCCGGGCUUAACCCGGGAAUUGCAUCUGAUACUGGUCAGCUAGAGUCUUGUAGAGGGGGGUAGAAUUCCAUGUGUAGCGGUGAAAUGCGUAGAGAUGUGGGGGAAUACCGGUGGCGAAGGCGGCCCCCUGGACAAAGACUGACGCUCAGGUGCGAAAGCGUGGGGAGCAAACAGG